rnacentral:rRNA from 1 species
AAGGCAUCUUCUGGACACUACUGACGCUGAGGCGCGAAAGCGUGGGAGCAAACGGGAUUAGAUACCCCGGUAGUCCACGCAGUAAACGAUGAAUGUUAGUCGUCGGGGGCCUAGUGUCUUCGGUGAUGCAGCUAACGCAUUAAACAUUCCGCCUGGGGAGUACGGUCGCAAGAUUAAAACUCAAAGGAAUAGACGGGGACCCGCACAAGUGGUGGAGCAUGUGGUUUAAUUCGAAGAUACGCGAAGAACCUUACCUAGCCUUGACAUAUUUAAGAAUCCGGUAGAGAUACUGGAGUGCCUUCGGGAGCUUUCUUACAGGUGCUGCACGGCUGUCGUCAGCUCGUGUCGUGAGAUGUUGGGUUAAGUCCCGCAACGAGCGCAACCCUCGUCACUAGUUACUAACGGUUCGGCCGAGGACUCUAGUGAGACUGCCUUCGUAAGGAGGAGGAAGGUGAGGACGACGUCAAGUCAUCGUGGCCCUUACGGCUAGGGCAACACACGUGCUACAAUGGCCAGGACAGUGAGACGCGAUACCGUGAGGUGGAGCAAAUCUAUAAACCUGGUCUCAGUUCGGAUUGUAGUCUGCAACUCGACUACAUGAAGCUGGAAUCACUAGUAAUCGUAGAUCAGCUAUGCUACGGUGAAUACGUUCCCGGGUCUUGUACUCACCGCCCGUCACACCAUGGGAGUUGAUUUCACCCGAAGCGGGGAAGCUAAACUGGCUCCCUCCACGGUGGAAUCAGCGACUGGGGUGAAGUCGUAACAAGGUACC